rnacentral:rRNA from 1 species
AGAGUUUGAUCCUGGCUCAGGAUAAACGCUGGCGGCGUGCCUAAUACAUGCAAGUCGAUCGAUAGAAGUCCAGCUUGCUGGACGGAAAUAGAGGCGAACGGGUGAGUAAUACGUAAGCAACCUGCCCACGAAGACCGGGAUAAUCCCUGGAAACGGGGACUAAGACCGGAUAGGUACACAGAUCGCAUGAUCUGUGUAUUAAAGGAGAGAGACACUGGUGGAUGGGCUUACGGUGCAUUAGCUGGAUGGUGAGGUAACGGCCCACCAUGGCGAUGAUGCAUAGCCGGGCUGAGAGGCUGAACGGCCACAUUGGGACUGAGACACGGCCCAGACUCCUACGGGAGGCAGCAGUAGGGAAUUUUCGGCAAUGGGGGCAACCCUGACCGAGCAACGCCGCGUGAGUGAUGAAGGUCUUCGGAUUGUAAAGCUCUGUUGUAAGGGAAGAACGGCAUCUAGAGAAUAGGUGAGUGACGGUACCUUACCAGAAAGCUACGGCUAACUACGUGCCAGCAGCCGCGGUAAUACGUAGGUAGCGAGCGUUAUCCGGAAUUAUUGGGCGUAAAGGGUGCGUAGGCGGCCUGUUAAGUUUAUGGUGAAAGCGUGGGGCUCAACCCCAUAAAGCCAUAGAUACUGGCAGGCUAGAGUACUGGAGAGGGUAGUGGAAUUCCAUGUGUAGCGGUAAAAUGCGUAGAUAUAUGGAGGAACACCGGUGGCGAAGGCGGCUACCUAGACAGAGACUGACGCUGAGGCACGAAAGCGUGGGGAGCAAAUAGGAUUAGAUACCCUAGUAGUCCACGCUGUAAACGAUGAAUGCCAGGUAUCGGGGCGACCCGGUGCCGAAACUAACGCGAUAAGCAUUCCGCCUGUGGAGUAUGCACGCAAGUGUGAAACAUAAAGGAAUUGACGGGGGCCCGCACAAGCGGUGGAGUAUGU